GAGGCAGCAGUGAGGAAUAUUGGUCAAUGGACGAGAGUCUGAACCAGCCAAGUAGCGUGAAGGAUGACUGCCCUAUGGGUUGUAAACUUCUUUUAUACGGGAAUAAAGUGAGGCACGUGUGCCUUUUUGUAUGUACCGUAUGAAUAAGGAUCGGCUAACUCCGUGCCAGCAGCCGCGGUAAUACGGAGGAUCCGAGCGUUAUCCGGAUUUAUUGGGUUUAAAGGGAGCGUAGGCGGACGCUUAAGUCAGUUGUGAAAGUUUGCGGCUCAACCGUAAAAUUGCAGUUGAUACUGGGUGUCUUGAGUACAGUAGAGGCAGGCGGAAUUCGUGGUGUAGCGGUGAAAUGCUUAGAUAUCACGAAGAACUCCGAUUGCGAAGGCAGCCUGCUGGACUGUAACUGACGCUGAUGCUCGAAAGUGUGGGUAUCAAACAGGAUUAGAUACCCUGGUAGUCCACACAGUAAACGAUGAAUACUCGCUGUUUGCGAUAUACAGUAAGCGGCCAAGCGAAAGCGUUAAGUAUUCCACCUGGGGAGUACGCCGGCAACGGUGAAACUCAAAGGAAUUGACGGGGGCCCGCACAAGCGGAGGAACAUGUGGUUUAAUUCGAUGAUACGCGAGGAACCUUACCCGGGCUUGAAUUGCAACUGAAUGAUGUGGAGACAUGUCAGCCGCAAGGCAGUUGUGAAGGUGCUGCAUGGUUGUCGUCAGCUCGUGCCGUGAGGUGUCGGCUUAAGUGCCAUAACGAGCGCAACCCUUAUCGAUAGUUACCAUCAGGUGAUGCUGGGGACUCUGUCGAGACUGCCGUCGUAAGAUGUGAGGAAGGUGGGGAUGACGUCAAAUCAGCACGGCCCUUACGUCCGGGGCUACACACGUGUUACAAUGGGGGGUACAGAAGGCAGCUACACGGCGACGUGAUGCCAAUCCCGAAAGCCUCUCUCAGUUCGGAUUGGAGUCUGCAACCCGACUCCAUGAAGCUGGAUUCGCUAGUAAUCGCGCAUCAGCCACGGCGCGGUGAAUACGUUCCCGGGCCCUGUACACACCGCCCGUCAAGCCAUGAAAGCCGGGGGUACCUGAAAAGGGUAACCGCGAGGAGCGCCCUAGGGUAAAACUGGC
rnacentral:rRNA from 1 species